UCGAGGAUCUUCGGCAAUGGGCGCAAGCCUGACCGAGCGACGCCGCGUGUGCGAUGAAGGCCUUCGGGUUGUAAAGCACUGUCGAGGGGGAGGAAGGCGCAAGCUUGACCUAUCCCUGGAGGAAGCACGGGCUAAGUUCGUGCCAGCAGCCGCGGUAAGACGAACCGUGCGAACGUUGUUCGGAAUCACUGGGCUUAAAGGGCGCGUAGGCGGGUCGGCAAGUCCGGGGUGAAAGCCCCCAGCUCAACUGGGGAAGUGCCUUGGAAACUGCCGGUCUCGAGGGAGGUAGGGGCCUGUGGAACUUCGGGUGGAGCGGUGAAAUGCGUUGAUAUCCGAAGGAACGCCGGUGGCGAAAGCGACGGGCUGGACCUCUUCUGACGCUGAGGCGCGAAAGCCAGGGGAGCAAACGGGAUUAGAUACCCCCGUAGUCC
rnacentral:rRNA from 1 species